GGGCCCGUGGCCUAGUUGGAUAAGGCGGCGGACUUCUAAUCCGCAGAUCGCAGGUUCGAAUCCUGCCGGGCCCG
rnacentral:tRNA from 1 species